UAUUCCAGAAAGCAGGUUCAACACACUCUGAGUCUAUCCCUGAACUCUGAGUUGACUUACUCUGAGUCGGGAAACUCUGAGUAUCCGGUUCCAGAACAGCUGAUCAGAGUUAGUUCAAUCAACUCUGAGUACGUUAACCUCGAGGUACGCGCGUGCACAACCACUAUAAAAAGCCAUCAUCAAUGGAGCCCCGAUACCACGAGUCACCAUGACAACCGAGACCAAAAAAAAAAGAUCAAGUUAUUUCAGUGAGAAGGAGUUGGAGAUCCUUAUGCUGGCCUACGGCGAAUACGAGCACAUAUUUCGCCGCAAGUGUAACACAGCUGCAGCAGCGAAGGAGAGAGAGACCGCAUGGGAGAGAAUUGCUGCCCGAGUCAACGCGUAAGUUUGAAUGUACUAUUCCAUUGACGUAACAUUUAACCGUAAGAUCGUAGCAUAGUCUAUAGUUAUGAAUAUAAGUAGGAAUGAAAUCUGAGUUUUUCAUUUAGGUGCAAUCCAACAGGAGAAAAGAGGACUUGGAAGCAGCUAAAAAUGAAACAUAAAAACAUCAUUCAACAAGCGAACAGAAAGAAGGCAGAGGCCCGAAAAACGGGUGGAGGGCCACCUCCACCACCUCUGACAGAGGCUGAGGAGCUGGCUCUCAGCCAAUACAGCGGUCGCCCUGUGGCUGAAGGCAUCCCCGGGGGAAGCUCAUCUGAGCCUGUCACCCCCCAGGACACAAGUGCCUACAUCAGAUGCAAUUGUGGAUGGUGUCAUCUGCCUGGUUCAGCCGACUGAAACAACUGUUAACCCUGCAGCUGAGGAGGAGGAGGAGGAGGAUGAUGAUGAUGAUGAUGAGGAAACGCUGUCUGCUGCCACAGGGAGAGAUCCGGAGGGGACUACUGAAGUGUGUCUUAAUAUCAUGUAUAGCUACUGGCACUGCUCUACCCAUUCAUAUUCAUUUACAUUCUUGAGUGGAAUUUGUUGUUUGACAUGUACACUGAAGUGAUGAGCAUAGAUAAUGGACAAACUAGCACAUUCUUGUCCUUCAACAGAACAUGGCUGGGCAUCACC